UCCAUUACAAGUCCAAAUACAAAAAAAACCCUAAUAGCCCAAAACAUUAAAAAUUUUCAAAAACCCUAACCCCCUUAUCACCAUCAGCCGCCGCUCCCUUCGCCACGUCAAUAAACGUACCAUCUGAGGCCUGACACCACCGCCUCGUCCUUGCCACCAUCAUCUGCAGAAGACAAAGAAAAGGAAGCAGAAAAACAUAAAAAAAGAAAAAGAAAAAAGAACAAUAAAUAUAUUGUAUUUCGGCUAUAAAAAGCCAAAGUACCAUUUGUAGUUUUUUCCCUUCUCUUUUACGAAGAAAUUGAACAGAGAAUCCAAAAAAAAAGGUGUUCUUUUUAUUUUCAAUCUGCCAUUCUUUUUUUUAUUAUUUUAUUUUAUUUUUAUAAAUAACAUAAAAAAUAAAAAACAAGAUUUAAAAAACAAAAAAACUUACCGCACCGUGUCGUUUCUACUCCCAUCUCCGUCGGUGGCGACUCUUUGUCGAUUCAAGGGGUCUUCGAACAUAUUGGGGUUCAUCGAUGGCUUCAUCGGAGAAAAGAAACCGAAGGGUUCCUUGGGUUUUUUUUAGAAAUUUCGAUAAAGUUUUAGGGGUAUUUAGUUUUGGAUUUGGGUAAAGGAAAUCGAAAGGAGCAAAAGGGGUCGUUUUGGGUAUUUUUCGGCCACCGGAGGGAGCAGUCGCCGUAGCCGAUGAUCAGUGGUCGCAGUGGCCCUUGUGAUCAGAGGGGAAGGCCUCUUGAGAGAAAAAAUAAGAGGGAAUGAAGGUUUUUUUUAAGGGGCUG
rnacentral:lncRNA from 1 species